rnacentral:lncRNA from 1 species
ACACAGGAAAAUUUACUUGUGACUAAUUCUUCCUCAAAAAACCCCAAAAUUCCCUACCUACACAAAACCUAAAUUAAACCCCACUAAGUUCAGGAGAUCUCCACCGUAUCUCCGGCGUGUGUUCGCCACGACCACCGCCAAUUCCAACUUCCACAAAACCCUAACCAGUUUUAGUUACCACUUAUCAUCAACGCUCUCCUCUCAUCUACUCUCCUCUGCAACCUAAAUUAAGCGUAUGAUUCUGUUUGAAGCAAGCUAGAAUGAGAUUGCUCAGAUCGAUUUUCACUUUCCUCCUCCUCCGGAUGUAGGCGGGCUAAUUCGAAAACAUCUUCAGUGGAGACACUCUGAGAGAUCUAAAGUCAUAUGGAACUUUGAUGCAGCAACUGGUCUCUACUUCCUCUUACACAAGACCAAGCUACUUACGCCGCCUUAGACACCUUUUGUUUGAUUCACAUUUUUUGAUGUUUUUCAGCAAAGACUUCUCAAACAUGGGUUUUCAUUCUCCUUUUAAAUUCUAAUUGUUUGCUAGUUGGCCUAAAUGAACAUAUAUACAUUACCUUGCUGUUAAUAGUUGCUGGUGCAUUCCUAUCCAAAGCCACAAAUAUAAGGAUUCAAACAUGUCGCCUAAUGAACAUGUCUUCUUCAGAAGAGCUAUGCUCACCCAAAUUACAAAAAAAAGGUUGGUCGAAAUGAGCGAAACAGAUCAAGUGUUUUUGUGUGGCCGUUAGAUGUGCUUGUUGAUUGGGUCUGUUAUGGGGGUAAUAGAGGUCAAGACCGCUAGGAAGCUGAAGAAAAGAUUAUUCAGGUUCUGUUGGUCGCGGCUUCAUAUGCUUUCGGAAGGGGUUGGGCAAAGGGUUGUGAUUCUUUUGUUGUGUGAGUUUUGGUGUCCAUACAGGUUCCGAAAGGGUGGGAGGGGUGUGUUUUGGCGUGUGUUUAACUGGGUCGUGGUUAAUAUUCGGUAUAUAGUGUGUUGGUACUAGCAACUUGGUUCUCGUAUGUUCAUUUUUCGUAUAUGCGUUCUUUUUCGUGUAAAUUUCAUUUCGGGUGGGAACCUUUAUUCCGAAACCUUAGUGGUGUAGUGGGUCAAGAUGGCCGAGGCAUAAAGUCUAGACUAUCUUGGGGACAAAAUGGAAGCUAUAAGCUAGAAAUAAGGUUUUUAAUGAAGAGAUUCAGAGGAUAUGAGGUAUUCAGAAGGAUAUAUAGUGUGUGGCUGUGGCUGAAGGAAGAGAGAAGGUUUACAAGAGGAACCCGAGUUAUAAGAUGUGUCUGUACACCUACAGGUCAAUGAGAUGUAGUUAAAACAGCAAUAGUUUAGCAUUCCUAAGUGUCCAAUAUGUGUUACCAGUUUAACAUUCUUUUCUUUGUUAAUCUUUAGUAAGGUGUUUAAAAAUAUAAAUGAUCACCAACUAUAUAUUUAUCUUAUUUUUAAAGACGAGAUUUCAAAUACCCAAUUGACGAAUGUUUGUUAUU